UUUAAUUCGAAGCAACGCGCAGAACCUUACCAACCCUUGACAUCCUGUGCUACAUCCAGAGAUGGAUGGUUCCCUUCGGGGACGCAGUGACAGGUGCUGCAUGGCUGUCGUCAGCUCGUGUCGUGAGAUGUUCGGUUAAGUCCGGCAACGAGCGCAACCCACAUCCCUAGUUGCCAGCAGUUCGGCUGGGCACUCUAUGGAAACUGCCCGUGAUAAGCGGGAGGAAGGUGUGGAUGACGUCAAGUCCUCAUGGCCCUUACGGGUUGGGCUACACACGUGCUACAAUGGUAGUGACAAUGGGUUAAUCCCAAAAAGCUAUCUCAGUUCGGAUUGUCGUCUGCAACUCGACGGCAUGAAGUCGGAAUCGCUAGUAAUCGCGUAACAGCAUGACGCGGUGAAUACGUUCCCGGGCCUUGUACACACCGCCCGUCACACCAUGGGAGUUGGUUUACCCGACGGCCGUGCGCUAACCUUUUGGAGGCAGCGGACCACGGUAGGAUCAGCGACUGGGGUGAAGUCGUAACAAGGUAGCCAAGGCGAAUCCGCACACUGCGCCGUAUAGUGAUC
rnacentral:rRNA from 1 species